GAUCAUGGCUCAGGAUGAACGCUGGCGGCGUGCUUAAUACAUGCAAGUCGGACGAAGCACCUUGGACAGAAUCCUUCGGGAGGAAGACCAUUGUGACUGAGUGGCGGACGGGUGAGUAACGCGUGGGUAACCUGCCUUGUACAGGGGGAUAACAGUUGGAAACGACUGCUAAUAUCGCAUAAGCGCACAGUACCGCAUUGUACGGUGUGAAAAACUCCGGUGGUACAAGAUGGACCCGCGU
rnacentral:rRNA from 1 species